CAGUAGCCGCGGGAAUACGGAGGGGGCUAGCGUUGUUCGGAAUUACUGGGCGUAAAGCGCACGUAGGCGGCUUGGUAAGUUAGAGGUGAAAGCCCGGAGCUCAACUCCGGAAUUGCCUUUAAGACUGCCGAGCUAGUAGGUGAGAGAGGUAAGUGGAAUUCCGAGUGUAGAGGUGAAAUUCGUAGAUAUUCGGAAGAACACCAGUGGCGAAGGCGGCUUACUGGCUCAUUCUAGACGCUGAGGUGCGAAAGCGUGGGGAGCAAACAGGAUUAGAUACCCGGGUAGUCCCUGUCUCUUAUAC
rnacentral:rRNA from 1 species